GAGGGUGUAGCUCAGUGGUAGAGCACAUGCUUAGCAUGCAUGAGGUCCUGGGUUUAAUCCCCAAUACUUCCA
rnacentral:tRNA from 1 species